AGAGUUGAUCCUGGCUCAGAACGAACGCUGGCGGCGCGUCUUAAGCAUGCAAGUCGAACGGCAAGAGGUAGCAAUACCUCCUAGAGUGGCGGACUGGUGAGUAACACGUGGGUGACAUACCCUUCAGAUGGGGAUAGCUAUUAGAAAUAGUAGAUAAUACCGAAUACGAGCACAGGGGUUAGAGAUCUGUGAGGAAAGGAGCUAAGGCUCCGCUGAAGGAAUGGCCUGCGGCCCAUUAGCUAGUUGGUGAGGUAAGAGCCCACCAAGGCGAUGAUGGGUAUCCGGCCUUAGAGGGUGAACGGACACAUUGGGACUGAGAUACGGCCCAGACUCCUACGGGAGGCAGCAGCUAAGAAUAUUCCGCAAUGGACGAAAGUCUGACGGAGCGACGCCGCCGUGGAUGAAGAAGGCCGGAAGGUUGUAAAAUCCUUUUGAAACUGAAGAAUAAGCGUUGUAGGGAAUGACAGCGUGGUGACAGUAGGUUUUGAAUAAGCAACGGCUAAUUACGUGCCAGCCGCCGC
rnacentral:rRNA from 1 species